UAACUCUCUGGAUCUGAGCUCUGAGUCAGUUAAAAAGAAUGCAGACAGCAAACCAAUUAUUUGAUUUCUUUCUCUCUCUCUCUCAAAAAAAAAAAAGAAGAUUUACUGAGUUAAGUGGGACUUUUUCUUCCAUUGGUAGUCCAUCAGUAAAUCUAUUAAAGUAGCAUCACUGAAUUAAAGAGAUGAUGAAUCAAGGAUGGCCUUCUAGAAAAGAACAGCAUUUUGGUUACCAUGGGGAAGCAGAGCGACUGUGUACUGAAGUGACUGAAAAAUCAGAUCUGUUAGCAUGAAGAACAAAGAUCCUUUGGGGCAAUGCUGUGUUUUUUCAUCUCUGCUCACCUGGAACUAAGCAAAGAAAUAUGGAAGUUAAACUGAUUGUCACUGCUCAUAUACUUAAUAAAACGUAUUUCUCCACCAGAGCCCUAAAAAUAAUGACUCGCAUAUUAGAAAACAACUACAAAAUUCUUCCUUCUAUGCAGAAGUCUUAACAAUCAGCCAAAGACUAAUUUUUGCCAGCAUUUGAACAAUCUGGAAAACUAAGAGUACUCUGUAAGAGCAACGUAAAUGAAGAGUACAAAUCAACCACAACUACCUACACGAUUGUGCAUUGAAAUACAAUUUAUGAAUCGUUCAUUUUGUAUGUGUUACUUGAUUUAGAGCAUAGUGCUUGCAUGUGAUUGUUUCUGCACUGGUGUGAAAACAUAAUGUAGAAUUGACUCUUGGGCAUGAUUUGAAUAUGACAGCUUAGCUCUGAAUGCAGAUUUUUGCUGAGAACACAACACUUUCAAACACAGUACCCAGAUACAAUAUGGUAUGCCAUGAAAAAGUACUGCUAACUGCAAUGUGAAGAUUUGAUAUGUAUCCUUAAUUUAAAAAUAAAUCUGUACGACACAUCUUAA